GGUGGGAUACCCAAGUGGCCAACGGGGGCUGACUGUAAAUCAGCUGGCUUCGCCUUCGUAAGUUCGAAUCUUACUCCCACCACCA
rnacentral:tRNA from 1 species